rnacentral:lncRNA from 1 species
CUCAAGUUAAUCUUUGAUAUUGACUGACUAUUUCUGUUUAAUUUACAUUUGAAGGCUUGUUAUUGAUUCCUUAUCUUCCCUAUUCUAAAGGAAGUGAAAAACAAGUUACAGAUUGACUGUCUGCUGUUAGAGUAUUGGACUACAUUCUGUCCUAGCCUUUUUGGGCUACAAUAACAAAAAUACCAUAGAGGGGGUGGCUCAUAAAUGACAGGAAAGUAUUUCUCAUAGUUCCUCAUAACAAGGAUGCCGGUUGUUGCUCUCAAAGACAACAGAGAUUUGGAAGGAAGAGACUAGAAGUUCCAAGCUCAAGGUGCCAAUAGAUUUGUGUCAGUGGAGUUCUCGUCGGGAGCCUGGGCAUCCACACCCACCUGGCAGUAAUAAGAAUGGUGGCACAGGAGGCCUGCUGAAAAUGGGAUGUAAAUAUGAUUCUACAUCUUAACCCACAAUACUCGAAAUACCCAGGCUUCAAUGGAAAAUCACUUACUACACCAAGAAUCAGGAAGAUCUCAAGCAGAUUGUAAAAAGAGACAGAUUCUCACUGUGUUGUCCCUGCUGGUCUUGAACUCCUGGACUCAACAGAUCCUUCUGCCUCAGCCUCCAGAGUACUGGGACUACAGCCCCAAGACCUGGAUGACCAGGAAGCCAGCAACUCGACCAGAAUGGCAGGCUGUGGAAAGAAGUCAUUUGGUGAGCUUCAGACUGAAGUAAAAGAGCCAGAAGAUUAUAGGACUCCCCUUCCUCCAGGACCUGAAGAUGGAAUCCCCAGAGUCUUAAGAGGAGCCACCAGAAAAAGAUCAAAAGACAUCUACUAGAAGCUUUCUUCGAUACCACCUGAGUUCACUGUAGAAGGCAACUUUGAUAAUAGACUACUUCUUGACUGACUGCAGAAAUCUUUCUGAGGUUUUCAAAGGAAAGAACUGCUAACAA